CCCAUCAGCAACCAGACUCAACAUCUGGACAUCACUCACCUCUGUCAGAUACAUCCAGAUCAGCGUCUACAUUUUUACAUAGUGCUGAUCUCUACUCCUGCUGGAUCUUUACUGAUUGUUGCUGUAGUUGUGAUUUGCUGCAUCUGCAAGAAAUGUAGAAAAACAGUUCAGAACCAGGAUGAAGACAGAACUGAUUCAACAUUGUAUAAACCAACAACACGAAAAAAGAAAUCAAAGACGGAUGCUGUGUAUGAAAAUGUCCCCAAAAAACAGUGAUCAAAUACUGAAUCUACUGGAACUGAUGUUAGAGGACAAUAACUCACUCUUUUGGUUUUGUUCACAUUUAUUCUUUGACAGUAUAUGUCUGUUUAGUCUUCACUCUUUGUAUUGUAACUUUUGGUGUUAUUGUGAUGUAUGAAUUUUUGUUUGCAUUUAAGGGUCCAUCAGUAGCACCCAGAAACUCAAAUAAAAUGUUUUUAAAAUUUUUUUUUUUUUUUUUUAGUUUAUCAUACGGAAAUUUACCUUGCAUUGAUUGUUAAAUAUUAAUCAUACCAUUCAGUGUGCUGUCAUGUCAUUGUCUGUCAUUUACUGUUUUUGUUUUAUUCUUUUUGAGGAAAAAAAAGUAAUUGAAUAUUAAAGAUAUGCUCUGCUGGAUAUUUCCAAAGUACGUGUAACAAAAAGCACAUCAUCGCUCUCUGGUGUCCAAAGCAGAAAUCACCCCCUCUCAUAAUAGUGCUACUUUUACCCGAUAGAGUGCGCUAUAAAUGCUACUGUUCUAAAUCAAAAAGUGUUGUUUGUGGAUAAUUUUGUCAAUUUUACAUAAAAUAUGAAAAAAAAUGUAUCACACUAGUGUGUUUUAAUCUAACAGGAAAUUUGUUUUGAAAUGCUUUUUUUUUUUUUUAAGUCAAAUUAAGUCACACUUGCAGUGUUCAUGGUCAAAAAUGCCCAGCCUACAAAAAAAUAGCUUAUAAAUCUCGUGCUAUGCUAUUUUAUCAUCAAAUAUCGAAUUCAAUGUUUUUGUCACAUUGUUUUCUUUAAAUUAUGACAGGUUUUGUAUUUAUUUUUGAAACUGAUUGAUCAGAGGCCUGAUCAAUCUGACUUCUGCUCUAAACAACACAGCUUUACUGUGAAAUACUGAAUCUGACAGAUAAAAGAUUCUCACAAAUCAAACAUUGAUACUGUGAGAUCUUACUGUGUGAAUGUAAGAGAUGAAAUAUGUGAAAUAUUGAGGUUGAUA